rnacentral:lncRNA from 1 species
GAAAUUAAAUGGUCCCUUCUUGCCACAGUCAAACCCUUCAGAGGUGAUAGGGAGGUUUGUAAGCUCUGCCUAUGUGAGGGUUUGGAAAUUCCUUUUUUUUUUUUUUUUUUCAAUAGGAAACAAACCCCAUACAUACAUACAUAAACAUGUAUACACAGAUUUAAGGGAUUCAUUCCUGCACACAGACAGUUUUAAGGGAUCCAUUCCUGCACACACACACACACACAUUUUCUGCCACCUUGCUCUUGCCUCACACUAUGAUAAUACUUUCCCUUUUUUUUUUUUUUAAAUUAGUAAAAAGAAAAUGGAGUAACUAUUUAAGGUAAUUAAUCUAAAGUGCUUUUGCUUUGGUCAGUUUCGGAAGAAUGUGUUUUAACAGGGAUUUCCAGAUUGUCUGAUGCUGCCCUCCAUCUAUCAAGUUACUACAGAUAAGGAGAAGUACAGCAACUGUUGCUCUGCCGGCUGGACGAUCAACUGCAAUGUAUGGGCAUUGUUGUUGUUAUUUGGUUUUUGGGAGUGUGGGACUCUUAGCCACUGUUGUCCCCAGAUCCACUCUGACCUGGAGUAGCUGCACCUAUCAGGACCCCAGCUGUAGGUUAAUUAGCAUAUUUAGGGCUUGUUAAGUCAAGUUAAGUUAAUUUUUUGGCUCAAAAAGCAAAAAGCAAGGCCAUGUAGGGGGACAUGGAGUUAUGUACAGGGAGGGUGUGCAUGCAAAGAGUUCGGGCCAUUUCUGGUCGAGAGAGACUUUUAACCGAGCGGUCGUUGGCAUCUUCACUAUCUUGUCCGGCAGCUUAUUCCACGGAUCCGCAACCCGGAUGGAGAAAGGCCCCUCUCCUUCGAUUGAGAUGAAAUCGUCGCAGAUAGAGCUCUUCGGAGUGACCACCUCAGCCAACGCUCUGGAGCAGGAGUGAAGAACAGCUCUUUCGAGAGGUUACACUUUCCGCUUAUGAUGUCUAUCUACGCAUGUGAAGACUGGAUCCUGCAGAUUCUGUAGGAGAAACCCUUGCCAAAAAAAAAGACCUUUGUAGUUCAACAGAAGGGAAGGCGGUUGCAACCACACAUUGUGUAGUGCAGAGAGCAAGACAAGGCAUCUUGGUCAUCCACUGCAUCUGUCUCCAACCCUAGUUGUCUUUAUACAAGUGAAGGCACAAAGUUUGCCCACAAACAAUAGAUAUCCUUUGUGUUGAGCUGCAGUUCCUGCUCAUAUUAUACGACCUUCGGGUCACAGCAUUAUACUCGCAACACAGUUGAGUACUGGGGGUUGAUGUAAUCGACCUACCCCACCCCAAGGUUGCUGGCCUUGUACCAAAAUUUGAAACCAAUAUAUUGGAACGGUAGUUUACAUUCUACACACAUUAUGCUUCCAUAAACAUUUCACGCCUUGGUCUUCCAUUUGUUAUUUCUGCAUUCCUCUCUCUAAAACUGUUAAGGACUCGGUGAAAAUAGGGGUUGGGAAUAAUGUCCCCACCACCACCACUUUUUUUUUUACCCACCGUCAUACAUCAUGCUUGGGGAGGAGAGGUAAAGGGAAUGAGGGAAGAUGGAGAAGAGAAAGAUAUACACACACAUACAUAUACACAGAUCCUCCUCGGUGACACAAAAUACUUGAGUGGUAGAAAAAAAAAGGAUAAAAUGAGUAAAAAACAAAAAAAAAAAAAAGGUUGGGUAUGUGGAAUGGCAGUGAGAGAUUGUCCUGAUGGCUCUCUGAGCAGGCACUGGCCCCUAGCUAUUGAGAGAUAACAACAUGAAGGACUGUUCUCUUCUAAGUCAAACCCUGUUAUUCUUCACCCCUGCGCACAUCUCAAUAUAAUCCUUAUAAACUUCGCUUCCCACCUCUCAAUGUUCUUUCUUUCCUUGAAACUAGUUUUUUUUUUUCUUAUUUUAAUUUAUCUGAAUUAAUUUUUUUUUUUAAACUCCAUGACUCCAGAGUUCCUUUGACCUAUCUUCUGAAUUAUUUAGGGAUGUGGAGCAAGGAGGUUUGUCUUAUUCAUGAACUGAAUUUUAUUAUUUCAUUCUUAAAUGUUCCUUGUUGAUCUUGCCACUGUUGCUCAUCUGUAAAUACUAUUGUUGUUAACCUUGUUACUGCCUCUUUGUCAGUAUGUAAAUGUUUGUUCAGCUUGGAGACUAAUAAACUAAUUUCUCUCCCUCUCUCUCUCACACACAUAUACAAUCAUUUAAUCCCAAAUCCCCAACAGGCUGACAGAGAGUUAUAGUUUAAAGUACCGGUUUCCCAACCUUUUUAACACAACAGACCAAUUUCAUGCAAGACAAUUUUACCAUAGGUCAAAAGUUCAUUCAAUAAAAUGCAUAAUAUAUAAUUUAAUUAUUACACAUUUAAUACAUAUAUAUUACCUAUAUAUUUUGCGGGAGGGUCUAUAAAAUAAAACACCAGUCAUGUACUGGGGUUGAUGUAAUUCACUAGCCCCCUCCCACAAAAUUUCAGGCCUUGUGCUCAUAGUAGAAUGGAUUAUUAUUAUUAUAAAGGUGGUGAGCUGGCAGAAAUGUUAGCACACUGGGCGAAAUGCUUAGCGGUAUUUCGUCUGCCGUUACGUUCUGAGUUCAAAUUCUGCUGAGGUUGACUUUGCCUUUCAUCCUUUCGGGGUUGAUAAUUAAGCACCAGUUACGCAUUAGGGUUGGCGUAAUCGACUUAAUCCGUUUGUCUGUCCUUGUUUGUCCCCUCUAUGUUUAGCCCCUUAUGGGUAGCAAAGAAAUAGGUAUUUCGUCUGUCUUUACGUUCUGAGUUCAAAUUCUGCCGAGGUCAACUUUGCCUUUCAUCCUUUCGGGGUCGAUAAAUUAAGCACCAGUCAAGUACUGGGAUUGAUGUAAUUGGCUGGCUCCCUCCCUAAAAAUUUCUGGCCCUGUGCCUAAAGUAGAGAAGAUUAUUAUUAUCAUUAUUAUUAUAGAAUGUUGGAUAAAAUGCUUAGUGGCAUAGUGUCCUCGUGUGUUGAGGUAGCACUGUUUCUCACACACUCAUUUACCUAUACAAAUGCACUCUCUCCCUCUCUUUCUCUCACACACAUACUUUCUCCUACAAACACUCACAGAUUCCCCUUUUUUUUAAGUUUCCAGCCACGUUGCCAAUAUAAAUUACAAGUUCACAUUACACUGCAACUUGCUCCGUAUGUCGGCCUAGCUUUACUCAUCCAAGCCUUUAUAUUUCAUUUCAUUUUAUUUUAUUUUACUUGGGUUAACUUAAAAUAUGUUUUCCAGCUGUCUGAUCCACACCAUCAAAUCAAUUUGCACACAGGGGGGACACACAAUUUGAAUGUAGAAAUGGGAGGAGGUAAAAGAAAAAAAAAAAUUCCCCACAUGUGGUAGUUUUUAUAUUUCCUUCUUGUUCAAAGCUGACCAGUCACUCGGUUGAUACUCCGAGUUAUUUUGCUGUUAUGCAUUAUUCCUUCAGGAGAUGUUCCGUCUCUUUGUCGCCAGAAACAAAUGAACAAAUAUUUCCAAUUGUCAAGAAUACUAAAAUAACAUUAGCCUAAACCAUCAGCUUCCAGCAAGAACACUAUAUAUAUAUAUAUAUGAAUGUAAGUGUUUGUGUGUGUGUAUAUAUAUAUAUAUAUAUAUAUAAGACCCCAGGACUUAUUCUUUGUAAGCCUAGUACUUAUUCUAUCGGUCUCUUUUGCCAAACCACUAAGUUACGGGAACGUAAACACACCACCACCGGUUGUCAAGCGAUGUUGGGGGGACAAACACAGACACUCAAACAUAUACACACACAUACAUAUAUAUAUACAUACAUACACACACACAGAUAUAUAUGACAGGCUUCUUUCAGUUUCUGUCUACCAAAUCCACUCACAAGGCUUUGGUCAGCCCGAAGCUAUAGUAGAAGACACUUACCCAAGGUGUGCCGCGCAGUGGGACUGAACCCGGAACCAUGUGGUUGGUAAGCAAGCUACUUACCACAGCCACCUACACCUAUAUAUAUAUAUAUAUACACACACACACACACAUGUAUAUAUGUGUGUGUGUGUGUGUAAAUAUACAUAUGUAUAUUUACAUAAAUCUACAUAUGUGUACAUGUGAAAGUGUGUAUCCUUGUGGUUGGGGUGUUGCACUGACAGUCAUAAGAUUGUGGUUUCAAUUCUCAGACUGGGAGGUGCAUCGUGUCCUCGAGAAACACACUUCCUUUCAUUCAUGUUGCUCUGCGAUUGCAUCGGCACCUGGCAUGUGGCACACCAUGCACUUGUACAGGCAAUGCCAGCUUGAUGGAAGGGACCAAACUGAUGUCCAGCACAACCAUUUGACCACUGGAAACAAAUCAUCUGUGCAGGAGGCUGUUUGAACAAGAAAUUUCAGAACCCUUAUCUCACAUCUACGACAGGGUACCUUUUCACUUGCAUGUGGUGAGUUGUUUUUUUUUCUUUUACCUCUUCCCAUUUCUACAUUCAAAUCAUGUGUGUAUUAUGUGUGUCCCCUGUGUGUGUGUAGAACCAUCAGCUUCCAUUUCAUAUCUAAGAGUUAGUCAUAGUAAUUAAAAUUAAAAUAAAUGCGCCCUUUUAAAAAGCCUAGCCAGGAUCAUGGGCCCAGUUUCCCGGUUUCAAUGGCGUAUGUGUUCCUCGGCUGGACGGGACACAAGUCCAUCGCAGUGUUACUCAUUUUUGCCAGCUGAGUGGACUCGAGCAACGUGAAGUGAAGUGUUUUGCUCAAGAAUACAAUGCGUCGCCCAGUCCAGGAAUCGAAACCACUAUCUUACGAUCAUGGUGAUGACACCUUAAUCACUAAGCCACAUGCCUCCACAGUCAUAGUAAUUAGUAACUCCAUAAUUCUUGCACACACUAACACACUGUCUUUGACCUUUGGUCUCCUUCCCACUAUCUUUAUUAAGUUUUUUUUCUUCUUUUUCUAUUAGGAUGUUGGCAAAUCGCUAUCAGUUGUAAAUUUGAAUUUUGCUACUUUUUUAUCUGUUAUGAAACAGUUGAACAGAUUAUUCUGGUUUCCAGCUGAAAACAAAAGCAUUGUGAGUGUGUAUAAUUGAUGGUAGGCAGGAGUGAGUGAGAGUGGGAAGGGUAGUAUUUAUUUCAGUUGCUGGUGCCUUGUAGCUCCACACUCCAAGACCAGUAGUUUUCUUCUGAGGAUUUCAGUUGAGAUAAGUUAGCAGAAUUUUCCCCACUAAAAUGAUGAUUUUGUUACUGUUGUUAGAGACCCUCUUUUACAUCUUUAGGUUGUGUUUCCCACCCAUCAAAGAUCGGCUUUACUUUCCUCCUCCUCCUCUUGUCACUGAAUAGCUGUAAUCUUCUGGGGUUGAGUUAACAUUUGAAUCAAUUGUCCCCAUCCAUCUUCUCUAAAUCUGUGAAUCUACUCCAGUAAUAUACUGAGGUCCAGAACUGUCAAGACAUACGAUAAACACCCAUGUGUCUAGUCAAAAGUUGCAAAUACAGAAAAGUUGGGCAAGAGAGUGUGGUGUCACAUAAAAAGCACCCAGUCCAUACUCUGUAAAGUGGUUAGUGUUAAGAAGGGCACCCAGCAAUAGAAACCAUGUCAAAAUAGACAAUGGAGCCUGGUGUGGCUCCUGGUCUUACCAGCUCCCAUCAAUUUUUUAAAUAUUGUAUUUUUAUGUCAGGGUUCCAACCCGGGUCACAGCAGCAACAAAGUCCACCCGCCACACUUCUUGGUCAACAUCACUGGCUCAAGGCCAUGGAUCCAUUCCAGGCCAGAGUCUGCAAUCAAGUUGUUGAUGUUAGUGUGCCAGCAUGGAAAACGGAUGCUAAAUGAAGAUGAUGAUGAUAGAUAAAGAUUCUGUAGAUAAUUUAGAAGAGACGUAGGCAACUGUGACCCACGGGGACUUUCUGAAUUGCAUGCAAGGGAAAAGUUACCCUGAAUUAUUUUAGCAAUGUAUUCUGUCUGAUGACAAUCCAGGUCUCAUACAGCCUGCUUCUCAGAAAAGGAUUUCCCAUGCUUGGUUCAGUGACUCUGAAAAUAAGCCAAUUUGUCCAUGAAGUGUUGUCCUCCCCUCUCCAGGACCUCCUUCUCGGGCCUUCAAUCUAGCUUUAUUGAAAUAGGCAGAAUUGACCAAAAUGUGUGUGUGUGUGAGAGAGAGAGAGAGAGAAAGAGUGAAAGGGUUAAGUUAAAUUUUUUACGUAAUCUCUCCAAUGUGAUAUAUUGAGGAAAUGGCUACUUUUGGUUUAUGUCUGAAAUUUUUAUAAAAAUAUAUUUUCUUUUGUCUCCUGAUAGAAAAUGUUUUCUACACCACAGAGUAAAUUAAAUUUAUAAAUAUAUUGUUUUCCUCUCUUCAGCCCUGGGAACCAUGUCAUUUUUUCGUUGUUUUGUUUGUUCUGUGGAGCUGUCUUUAUAAAUAAUAAUAAUAAUAAUGAUAAUAAUUAUUAUUCAGCACUGUAUAAACUUGUUUGCCAAUGGGUGUAUGUAAGAUCAUGGGGUUGCCUUAGGACGGUGUGUGUGGAACGGGGAGGCACAGGGAACAAGACAACACUCUUACAAUAUAUCUUGUGAGAAUUAAAUCUAUUUUGAAACUGUGCAUUAUCAAGGUCAAUCAGUUUUUGUUUUCCUUUUCUGUUUUUUUGUCAGCUUUUUCCUGACCUUUCCCCCACCUCUGUGCUACCCCCACAAUUUUGACUAGUGAUAGAACCUUUUUCUCUUGGCCUUUUAAAGAACACUUGACUGACCUUCACUUAUGAUAUCAAUAAGUUUGUGAUUUACUGACAAAAGGAACAGGUUCUGCUCCAGUUAGUGACUUGAAGGUGUUUUUUUUUUUCUCUCUCUCUUUUUCUUCAGUCUCUUUGGUCAAACUAAGAUUCGCUAAACACUAAAUUCUACAUUGGAGACUAUCAGUAUAUAGCAGUAACAUUUUCAUCGUCAUACGUUGAAACUGACAGGAGAGUCCAUCAGUCCAUCAUAUAUAUAUAUAUAUAUAUAUAUAUAUGUGUGUGUGUGUUUCUCUCUCUGCUAAUUUUCAGAUAUGGUAAUCAAAGCGAAAUGAGACAGCUUCAGUUCCAACUUAAGAAUAACGGUAACAUUUUCAUUUCCUUUAUUGAAGUAGGAGGAAUUGAUCAACCACAACGAGGGAAGAUGAAAGAAAAUUUAAGUCUGCCCAUGUGUGGUUACAUUCUUGCUUGACAAUGACAAUCUUCUCGAGUGACAUUGCAAUGGCAAUCACAAAAACGUUCAGUGGAGACAUCACUGCAAUCUCCAGCAGUCAAGCAUCUACCAUUGACAAGGCCAAGGAAGGCUGAAAUCAUGUGAUUUAUCGCCUGCUAGCAAUAUAAACAAGUGUUUAGAUGCUCCAAAAGCCAAUACGAGAUAGUUUCUCUUGUGGUAAUUAUUGCAGUAUUGUGUGUUCUAACACAACAUCCACUUUUAAGUAGGGAUAAAUAAUGCCUUUUGGUAAUUAAUACUGCUUUCAUUGCUAAUAAUUAUUAUUUAAUAAGCACAUCAUCCAUAUACAUACAUCACAUACAUAUAUACACACAUAUAUACACACACACAUAUACACACACAUAUACACACAUAUAUAUACACAUACAUACAUAUACACAUACAUAUACACAUACAUACAUAUACACAUACAUACAUAUACACAUACAUACAUAUA